AUGGACGCGCCGGCCAUGCUCACGCGCAACCACGUCCCCGAGAACAUCGCCGCAGAGGAGGGCGGGCAGCAACAGAUGCACCGGGACGAGAAGCAGCACAAGCCGGUGCUCAAGAAGGUCAAGGACAAGGUGAAGAAGAUCAAGAACACCAUCGUCGGCCAUGGCCACGGCAACGGCAACGGCCACGGCCACGAUCACGAUCACGAGCAGGACACCGGUGGUAGCAACAGCACCGACGAGGACGAGGAGGAUGUGGCGAUGAGGGAAGCAGAGGUGGAGAAGGGCGGGUACCAGCAAGACGUCGAGGACAAGCCCAUCUUCACGGACUCCAGCCCCGAGCUGCACGGCGCACCCAUGUACGACUCGGAGAGGAUCCCAGCGGCGGCGAAAGAGGUGAAGCACAACGACGCUCCGGGGGUGCGGCUGGGUGACAUUGGCGGCCUGGCAGCGGCGCAUGGGGUGAAACGCGACGACGCCGCGGGGGAGCGGCUCGGCGACUUCGGCGGCCCAGCGUCGGCGAAGGAGGUGAAGCGCGACGACACCCAGGGGGUGCGGCCCGGCGACUUCGGCGGCCCGGCAGCGGCGCAUGAGGUGAAACGCGACGACGUCGCGGGGGAGCGGCUCGGCCACUUGGGCGGCCCGGCGUCGGCGAAGGAGGUGAAGCGCGACGACACCCAGGGGGUGCGGCUCGGCGAUCUCGGCGGCUCCGUCGUCGAGGACCCGGCCGCGCCGAACUCGAGGACGCCCAUGCCGCGAGGUGGCGAGGACAUCGGCACCACGGGCGUCGUCCGUGACUUCGAGGCGAUGACCGUGUCAGACGACCCCAAGAAAGUCGACGUGAGCAAAGAGUAUGAGGCAAUGCCGGUGUCGGACGGCACCGGCGAGGAAUGGAACGACGCACCCACGGACGCCGAGUACACCGGGAGCUACACGGACAGGCUCAAGAACACGGCGGCUGGCACGACAGAGUACGGCAAAAAGCUGGCGAGCACGGUGUAUGAGAAGGUCGCCGGCGUCGGCACGGUCGUGGCGAGCAAGGCGCAGCAGGUCACCCCCGGCUUCGGCGCUGGCGGGAACGCGCAGGACGACUCCAGCGCAACUGCCGCCCCUGGAUCGAUGACCGCAGGUGCCGGGAAGAGGGACGUAGACUUGCCGAAAGAGGGAACGCCGGCGUCGUUCACCGGCUCGGAGGGACUGAAGAACGCGGCCACGGACGCGACGGGCACGGAGAGGCUGAAGGACGCGGCCACGGACGCGACAGGCACGGCGGGGCUGAAGAACGCGGCCACGGACGCGACGACGGAGGCCGCGCCUGGCGCGACGUACACCGACAAGAUCAUGUCCGCGGCGGCGGGCACCACGGAGUACGGCAAGAAACUGGCGAGCACGGUGUACGAGAAGGUCGCCGGCGUGGGAACGGCCGUGGCGAGCAAGGCGCAGCAGGUGACACAAUCCACCCCUGGCGUCGGCGCGCAGGACGGCGCCACCACCACUGCGACGGCCACCCCAGGCAUCGGUGCGCAGGACGGCGCCACCACCAGGGCGACGGCCACCCCUGGCGCGGGUGGGCCGGGGAACGGGCAGGACAAGGGGGUGACCGGCGUGACAGCCUACAUCGCCGAGAAGCUGCGCCCAGGCGACGAGGAGCGCUCCCUGAGCGAGGCCAUCACCGGCGCCGUGCAGCAGCGCAAGGAGGGGGUCGGGAGCACGGUGGCCAAGGCGCGCGAGGUCCCGGCACAGGCGGUGACCAGGGCGCGCGGCGCCGUCACGUCGCUCACCGGCGGGAACCGCGUCUCGGAGACCGUGCAGCCCACCACAGAGGGGAACAUCGGGGAGGGCGUCGCGGCGGAGGGGCCGGUGCUUCACGGCGAGGCUCCGAGGACCAACACGAAUGUGAUGUGA
rnacentral:rRNA from 1 species